GGCAGUGCUGCCGUGGGCAUCAGCAUCCUUCAGUUCCCAGGGAGAGGGAUCCAUUUAUUCUGCUGACCCUCACAGGGUCUGGAAACAACAUUCUGCUUGAAUCCCAGCUCCUGUGGAUCACUACACACCGGGCAGGGGGUCUUUGAUUGAAUUGCUGGAGUGAGGAGUGCCACUGAUUUCUGCAGCCUGACAGGAUCUGCAGUGCUGGACCCCUGGCGUGGCACAGGUGGUUUGGUGGCAGUGUGUGUGUGCUGUCCCUCAGACUGGAUCAGCACGUCAGGCUCUGGUGGCUGCCACAUGGAGCUGAGCCCUGCCUGGGCCAGGAAAGGGAGCAGUGCCCUGUGGCCAGAACGCCUCCAUAUGGAUCAGAAAGAAGAGUCUGUCUCCAUAGCUCUGGGUGGACUUUGUGCAAUGAAGCUGAAACGCCAGAAGAUUACACAUUCUGACUGCGGAACAAAGGGCUGGCAGGAGCUGCUCUCUUGUGCUUAAUAAUUUGAGUGAAUUUACAUUUCAAUGCAGCCCUGUGCCACUUCCCACCCCCCGUGGAAAGAGCAGAAUUUCCCUGUUGCGGGGAGGGGGAAAAGCAACUCCCACCGCAGUGGCCAGGCUGGGAGAUUUAUUGCGGCUCCUCUCCGAAUUUAUUCCUCCCGAAUCCCGCUCGCGUGUGGGGAUGUUUUCCUCCCCACCCCAGCCCUGCUCAGCCAACUCUGCCUGCCCCACCUCCCUGAGCAUCCUCAGUAAUUAAGCAGCAGCGGCACAUAAAGUCCCUGCCUCGGCAGAAGUGUGAAAUCACAGCUACACCUAAAGCCGGACCGAAGCUUUCCACUCUGAGUGACACCCAGCGAGCUGCAAAGUGAUAAAAAGACAGAGUUGCCAAAACUCCCCGAACACGGUCUGGUUUCUACGCGACGUCCUUUUGGCUGUACUUUGGGAACUGCAAGUACAAAAACCCCAUUUGCUGACUCAGAGUUGGUGAUGGGGGCGUGGAGGUGGCAGGUUUUUCACUUGCUGACCCUUGGAUCCCUGCCUGCAGGGUGCUCUGACCUGCUUGGCUCAUCUCUUGCUCCUCAGCUGAAUUUUCCCUCUUGUGCAUCCCUGAGUUUAUCUCGGGGUAUGAUUUGGUGUCCCUGCACAGGACACAGGAAUGCUGCAUUGACUGCCACCCACCCCUUACUGAGUCCCAGUCCUGCAGUUUAAUCUUAGGAGAGCUGCAUAAUUUUCUCUUGCCUAUCUGAUAAUAACUUUGCAAAGACUUUAUAUGCUGAUAACCUCAGCAUGCUACACUCCAUUUGGGUCUUUCACCACCAGCUGCUCUGCAUUAGCCCAUUUUAAUGAACUUUGAUUAUAGACACAGCUCCUCAUUGCUAUUUUAGAGGACAUCUCUGCUUUUCUUGAGCUUCCUAGGAGCUGGGCUUUGGGGCCAUGAGCACAGGACCUCACUGUCUGGGAUUUGCACGUUGAGGUGUGGCUCAACCAAUACUUUUCUUUCACUUGCUCUUCUGCCUAAGUCCCACAUGGUGCAAAAUGAGACGGACCCUCGCUGCCCUUGGGGCUGAAGAAGCAGAACGUGAAGAAAGUGCAGCCUCAGAUGUACCUGAGCACAGCAGCAGCCUCUUCCAGAAGCCCAUUACACCUGAACCUGUGCUUUUGGGCAGUGCACGAGGUGAUGGACAAAAGGCAGCUGGAAGGAAGUACAAAGGGAUGGUGAGUAGAGAAAAGCACAGGGCAGCGCUCCCCCUGCCCAGAGGGAGCAGCCAUGGGGCAGGCUGUGGUACCAGGGAAUGCUGGAAUUGUUUGGGUUGGAAAGCACCUUAAGCAUCACCCAGUUCUAAUUCCCUGCCACGAGCAGGGACGUGUUCCACUAGACCAGGUUGUUCAAGCUCCCAUCCAAUCUGGCCUGGAACACUUCUGGGGAUGGAGCAUCCACAGCUUUUCUGGGCAGCCUCCUCCAGUGCCUUACCACCCUGUGGAACAGGUGGUACCAGGAGAACCUGGAACUGGGAUUGGAGUCACAGAAGCUCAAGGGAAGCCCGUGUCCCAGGGAAUUGCCAGUGGGUGGCUGCCCUUGCUCAAGGAUGUGGCUUAGGACAGGUGAUCCUGGAGGAGGUGACAAGUCUGGAGAAGCAGAUCCUCCUCUGGCCUUGGGGAAACCUGGAUCCCAAGCAGCAGCAAAUGGGAACACGUGGAAUUGCAAGGGCAUUCCUGGCAUCAGGCAGGAGAGACUGGGCCAGUAGAAUGAUCUCUCUGGUGGGACUGGGGACAACCUUGAUGAGAGAAGAUUGCAGCAAGGGCAGGACACACAAACCUCGUUAUACCCUCCAACUGAGAAAACCUGCUGGGCUGCCAUCUCUGGGACCACCCCUGUGAUUGACAGCUGUCAAUCUCUGUCCUUGCCAGGUGUGAAAAAUGCGUAUUUUAUCAUUGGCUUUUCGCAAAUGUUACAAUGAAUAUUAUAUGUGUAAUGUUAGAAAAUUAUGCUGUAUUAAUUCUCUUACGUAUUGUGUUAAGCGUAGUUUUAGGUUACAACAUAAUGUUAAAAUAGAGACUAUGAAUGUGGGGAAGUUCUUUUUUUAGGGAUGAGAUACUCGCUUUGAGGAACACCUAAAUCUUCCAAAGGAGAGGAAUUUAUGGCUUCUUAUCAGAUGAAACUAAUUUCUUCAGGCCUUGCUCAGACUCGAAGAUGCCAGGGGAUUAAAGGAAACAGUUGACAUAAGACAGAGUUUCUUGUUUAGAAUAGAAUGUAUGCAUAACCAUGAAGGAUGUAUGAAUAUGCAACAAGUGUAUUGUUUUAAGGGUGAUUCCUUUGUUCACAAGUCAUGCUUUGACUUAGUGUCCGAGAGCAUCCUGAUGUCUGUAAUUCUUUGCUUUUUAUUGUCUUGUAAUUGUCCUAACUCUAAACUUUAUUACUCUA
rnacentral:lncRNA from 1 species